rnacentral:lncRNA from 10 species
UACCUUUCCAUGAGCUCACCUCUGUUCCACUCCCAUCUCAUAAAGGGUGUGACAGAUACUUCACAGAAGGCAAGGAGAAAACAGGUCAGAAGUAUGUUAUUGGGGGCUUAGCACUGAUUUUGGUUCUGACAAGCUGGCCACUCAGAGACAGCAGUAGCUAUGUCUGUCUCAGUAUGUGGUAGACCAUGCUGUUGGGCCCAUAUAUAUAUAGCCUCCAUGCCUGCCACUGGGGCUACUUCAUUCACGUACCCACUGUGUCAGUUCUGGGAUGACUAAAAUCAACUGGGUCAUCAUGAGUGAAGUCUUGAGCCACUGAGCCACUACCACCUUGUGCCAAAUACUAUCUGUGCCCUGCCUGCCAACCAGGAUGACAACCCUUCACCUGCCAGGUGAUACCUAGAGUAAGAUUGCUGGCUUAAACAGUAGGAGAGAGACAGCAGCAGGCUAACUAGUUGUCUGUUAAGAACAUCCAGAGCAGGACCAGAAUCUGGGCCAGGAACUGAGAGACAGAUUGGGACAACGGAACAAAUCUACCAGGGUAUGCUGGCCAACUUAGUCUUCUAUUAUGAUCAAGGAAGGAUGGCGCCUGAGAGGUCAUUACUAUGUGACUGGUCUUCAUAUAUUGCUUCUAUGUUUGAUUCUUCCUCCAGAAAUGUUUCAAUAGCAAACUCAAUGAGUUUACGUAGCCAGAAUCUUAGUCAAUAACCUACUCUGCAGUAUCUUAGGGCUGACUUUGUACAUAUGGAAGUCAGCCAGAUCUCAUGAGUGGAUCAUUAAGCUAGAAUUAUUUUCUUGGCACACGUUACAGUAAGGUAAUAUAUGACCUAGGCCUAAGGCAGGCCAUCAACCUGUCAAGAGUAAUGACCCCCAGGGGUAAGGCCUUGCUGUCUCCACCUCAAGGAUGGGUCUUCAAAGUGGAGACAAUAUAGUCCCUAUGGUUUCUACAUGCUUAAUGAGUCUGUUAUGUGAAUUAUAAAGAUAAUAUCUAUGGGGACUUUGAGCUCCUACAAUAAAAAUGUAUAAAUAUAAUCCAAGAAAUUCUGGUAGACAAACAUUGUAAUAAUGCAUAUCAGUCUUUGUAUCUCCAUUUAGUUUUUUUAAAACUUGGCUUGUGUCCAGAAGUAUGCACAGAUAUACAUAGCAAAUGCUCAGUGCUGAAUGUUUAGCUAAAUCCUGUGCUUCAAAGCAAGGAUGAAUAGAUUUUCAUCAGAGCUCAGGACCUGAACUGUAGGCUUCCCUCACAAUGAGAAGUAAAGCUAAGUAUAGGUGAAUCCUGAGUGGCACAUAUUCUAUGAGAGUUUUAUACAUAAUUUGAAUGAUUGAUAUGCUGCAUCUUUCAUUGAAAUGAUUGUCAACCAAUAUUAUUUCAAGUGUUAUUUCCAUGCUAUUUCUAGUUCUGUAUGUUUUACGUAAUUAUAAAUGGCUUCAUAUUUUCAUGUAACAUUGUAUGAUAUGAUUUGGGUUCUAACAGGUUAUCCUUGACACCAGUAUAGAAUACCCAGAAUUAAUUUAAGGUAUAUUAUCAAACCACUAAAAUUAGGAUGUCCAUGAAUUCUGAAGGAGAAAAUAUCAUUUAGAUUGUGUGUGUGUGUGUGUGUGUGUGCGCGUGUGUGUGUGUCCUCUAAGUUUUAAACAUGAGGUGGUUAUAUAAAGGGGACUUCUAAAUUGGGAGAGGAUGAAAAUGGGCUAAAUAUUUCAAACAAACUUCAGUGUGAAAUCAGUAGUAUAUUCAGUAGAGGUGACAGGGAAAAAAGCUGUGGAGGAGAAAAGAGAACAAGAAAAUCAGGAAGCAGUAAAAAUGAUGACUGAGGUCAGGUGGUAAUGGUAACAUCAAGAAACUUGAAUCUGAUGGAAAAAAACCACGGGUAGCUAUAAAAGGGGCAUUCGAAAUAGGAAAUGAUGUGAGAGGAGAAGAUAAUUUUAGUAUAGUUAAAGGAGGUAGCAGCUAUAGGUGUGAAGAGAACGGAUUAAUUUUAAAUGUGUCCCAGAAGUAAGAGAAAUAUUUUUUUGAGGAGUGGGGGAGGAACAAUGAGAUAAACCUGGUUGAGUGUUUUAUGGUUAUCUCAAGUAAGAGUCCACUUGGAGUAUUAUGUCCAUUUUUGGACACCAUACUUUCAUAGGCAUGUUGAUGAACCAGGUCAUUCAAGACACCAGGGUAGUGAGAAGUGUGUUAAUAGUGCUUCUACCAGAGAGUUAGAGUGACAUGGCAGCUGUCCUCAUAUCUAUCGAUCUGUCAUAAGGAAGAAAGAUCACAUGCCUCUGCAUUGUUUAAAAGAAAGAAACAGACCCAAAGAAAGUCAGGAGGCAGAUUUUGCUCAAUAUAAUGAUCUAACAAUUAGAUGUGCCCUGUAACAGAGUGCGCUAUUGUAAAGUAAUGUUCUCCCAUCUUUCCAAGUAUUCAAGCAGAGAAUAGUCAAUAAUACAACUAACGACUGGAAGGGUUUCUUUUAUUCUAAGGUACUAUCAGAUGGAGGAACAUGUAGUUUGUGGUCAGUGACCUCAGGUUCUCACAUUCACGGUGCUGCAUCCUGGUUUUCAUUUGGGGACUGUUUUCUGGCACUCCCGCCUGUCUGGAGGUGAGAUAUGCUUGUUAUGACAACCCUUCUGUCACAAUAAAUUGGCUGGUGCAUUCAGUGUCAUCUAUGGCUUUUUACUUCUAUUAAUUCAUUAAUUCCGGGCCCCCAAGCGAAAGUUUCCAAAGGCCUUUUUUCUUCUUUGUUAAUUAUAACAUGAUAUCAAUCAGCACCCAAGCAGAAACUAGAAGAGUAUUCAAACUAGGUAAUUUGAGGAGAGUUUAAUAAAGCAACAGCUUACAAAGAUGUGGACAGUGGCUUAAGGAAGCCACUAAAGGAUGGCACAGUCCUCCAGGCUUGUGAUCAGGGGAGUCAUUACCAUCCCCCAGCCUGAAGAUCAAGAGGCUGGAGCUAUUUCCAGACCCUGAAGAGGGUGGUUGUAUGGAGAGGACUAUCUGAAAGAAGAGGCUGUAGCCAACACAAGAAAGCCAGGGAAUAAAUAAUCCAUCCUCACUCUCCUGCUGUUGCCUCUCAAUGGCCAAACCCAACCAUGAGCUGGGCAUGAAGGGAGCUAGCUGACAGCUAUAUGGCUCAGCUUCCUGGGGCCCAGAGCAGAGUGGAGCUGAGAAGAGAGUGAAUCUGGAGGGGUUAAUGGAAGAAACCACAGAAAGCAAAUUCCUCCCUGAGAUACAGUUGGUGCUUAGGCAAUAUUUGUACUGACAGGAAUGUGGCCACAUAUUUUGGAAAAGCUCAGGGACUCAAUCCUCUGCUAGCUGCUUUGAGGCCAUGUCUGCCGAAGUCACUGUCCUCUACAGGGUUUUUUCCUCAUGUUCAGUGUUUAGUCCUUUCCACCUUCACGAAAACGAUGCCUACUUAAUAUACAGAAAGGAGGACAUACAGAAAUUUUUCAUCUUAAUUGGAUAUUACAGUUGCCCCACUUUGGAGCCAAGAAGAGCUGAAUAAAGCUGAGAAACACCUAAACAGAAAGGAGCUCUGGAGGGAAGCAUUAGAUAUGGCUCUUAACCUCAGGGGGCUUACAGUCCAAUCAGGAGACCCAAUGCAAAUGGAACAAUGAAUCAAGAUACUAUCUAACAGGACUAGACCAUGCCAGUAAGUGCUGUAGGAGUUUAAAGAUGAAGUAGCUCUUUGAGGCUGCAGUAGUCUGUUGAUGGUGCUUCUCUCAGGAGGUCCCAGGAGGGGUGACUGUUCUUUCUGGAACAUGGUCAUGGGAAAAUCCCUCAUACCUACUUUAAGCCAGUAAAAGAGAAUGUCCAGAAAGGCCAGGUAUUUGGAAUUGGACCUAAGUGACAGGCUUCAUAUACAAAUAUGCAUUGGUUUACGGACAAUUGUAUAGUUUUUUUCUUCACUGCCACCUAAACCAUCAUUAUCAGCACUUGAGUCCUCUGUGACCAUCACUGCUGUCCAUGGGCAGUAUGCACAAGUGGAACAAAGCCAACGCCUCAACUGUGAGACAGUUUGUCUCUUAGGGUUAGGGAAGAUGAGGGCUAAGGGUGGAGGGAGAAGGUACAGCAUGGCGAAGCUCAUCAUAGAUCCCUUGGAACACUAUUCCUACUGAUUUGUUACUCCCUUUUCUCCCUCCAUGCUUUGUCUUUCCCUGUUACACACACACUGUUAUUCUUCAUCUGUCCGCAGCCCAGUCAUUGGAACUUGGAUGUAAGUGGCUUCUACAACCAAGUGAGGCAGAGAAAUGGGCAGCAGUGAUGACUCUAUAAAGACUUUUGUCCUUUCAUUCAUUCAAGGUGGUGUACAACCCAAAGAUGAACACAUGACCCUUGUCCUCAAGCAGCUCAAUCUGUGAAAACUAUCAUAUGAGUUAAUGUGGUAACAGAAGCAUGCGCACAAAGUACUCUGGAACAACAGGCAGGGACCAUUUAGACCUGCUGCAGUGUGUGUGUCUGUGUCUGUUUAUCUAUGUAUUAUAUGCAGGCAGAUUGUGAAAAAAGACAAGUUUCACAGAGGAGAUGAUACAUGAUCUUUUCUAAUUCACUGAAGCAUACAGCUAUCAAAGGCCUGAGGACUCUUGAAAGAUGAGCAAAAUUUCAUCAUGCAGAGAAGGGAAGUGUAAAGACAGGAAACAGCAUGUGAAAGGCAUUCUAUUCUAUUUAAAUCUAGGAAUACUGUCUUUAGGAUGUUCUUGGCUGAUUAAAUCAGAUGCAUCAUCAUAUUAUACUAUCAUGAUUUACCAAUACUGGUUAUUGCCUAGAUUUUAUCCAUGGACUCUCCAUUGGCAUCAUUAGUGAUGAGAGCUGGAAGCUUGAGCACACCCUGCCAUAAAGUUGUUUGUAACAGAAGACAUAGUUUGUACUUUGUUUUCUCUGUUUCAGUUUUGGUUUCCACCUCUAAUUUGAUAUAUACCAGUUAUUAAUCUGGUUGAUUUGCUACAAAUGAAAAGUUUAAAAAAUUAAUGACAAUCUAUACAAAACUCACAUAAAACCAUUUGAGUCUCCCACUAGAUGGCACAGGAAGAAUAUGGCAUAUCACCUAAUUCUCAGGCUAGGCUAGAUAGAAAAUGUCUAUUCCUAUGAUCACAUGACUCUGACUACUUUCUCUUAAAAGUAAAUAUAAAUAACAUCUCUGUAAUUUUAUUUUUUCUUUAACAAUAAU